rnacentral:rRNA from 1 species
AGAGUUUGAUCCUGGCUCAGGAUGAACGCUGGCUACAGGCUUAACACAUGCAAGUCGAGGGGAAACGACGGGGAAGCUUGCUUCCCCGGGCGUCGACCGGCGCACGGGUGAGUAACGCGUAUCCAACCUGCCUCUGACUGAGGGAUAACCCGUCGAAAGUCGGCCUAAUACCUCAUGGCAUCGUCUGCGGGCAUCCAACGACGAUUAAAGAUUUCAUCGGUCAGGGAUGGGGAUGCGUCUGAUUAGCUGGUUGGCGGGGUAACGGCCCACCAAGGCGACGAUCAGUAGGGGUUCUGAGAGGAAGGUCCCCCACAUUGGAACUGAGACACGGUCCAAACUCCUACGGGAGGCAGCAGUGAGGAAUAUUGGUCAAUGGGCGAGAGCCUGAACCAGCCAAGUAGCGUGCAGGAUGACGGCCCUAUGGGUUGUAAACUGCUUUUAUGCGGGGAUAAAGUGAGGGACGUGUCCUUCAUUGCAGGUACCGCAUGAAUAAGGACCGGCUAAUUCCGUGCCAGCAGCCGCGGUAAUACGGAAGGUCCGGGCGUUAUCCGGAUUUAUUGGGUUUAAAGGGAGCGUAGGCCGUGGAUUAAGCGUGUUGUGAAAUGCAGGUGCUCAACGUCUGCACUGCAGCGCGAACUGGUCCACUUGAGUGCGCACAACGCAGGCGGAAUUCGUCGUGUAGCGGUGAAAUGCUUAGAUAUGACGAAGAACUCCGAUUGCGAAGGCAGCUUGCGGGAGCACAACUGACGCUGAAGUUCGAAAGUGCGGGUAUCGAACAGGAUUAGAUACCCUGGUAGUCCGCACGGUAAAC